UUCUCUCGCCCCAAGGAGGGGCCCACAGCCCUCUGUCCCCACCGCGGUGCAGAGUGGGAGAUGGAGAGGAAAUGGAGGCGGGUUGACGCCGCCCAGCGUCUGCCGUCCCGUUUGUGAAUGAAGAGAUUGGUUCGUGCCAGCACCAAGAGUGGGCACCCAUGUCCCCAGCCAGAUGCCCUGAGGAAAUAAAGCCGAUGCCCAGAGCUGCCGCCCAUCCCCAGCCUC